AGAGUUUGAUCCUGGCUCAGAUUGAACGCUGGCGGCAGGCCUAACACAUGCAAGUCGAGCGGUAGCACAGAGAGCUUGCUCUCGGGUGACGAGCGGCGGACGGGUGAGUAAUGUCUGGGAAACUGCCUGAUGGAGGGGGAUAACUACUGGAAACGGUAGCUAAUACCGCAUAACGUCGCAAGACCAAAGUGGGGGACCUUCGGGCCUCAUGCCAUCAGAUGUGCCCAGAUGGGAUUAGCUGGUAGGUGGGGUAACGGCUCACCUAGGCGACGAUCCCUAGCUGGUCUGAGAGGAUGACCAGCCACACUGGAACUGAGACACGGUCCAGACUCCUACGGGAGGCAGCAGUGGGGAAUAUUGCACAAUGGGCGCAAGCCUGAUGCAGCCAUGCCGCGUGUGUGAAGAAGGCCUUCGGGUUGUAAAGCACUUUCAGCGGGGAGGAAGGCGGUGAGGUUAAUAACCUCAUCGAUUGACGUUACCCGCAGAAGAAGCACCGGCUAACUCCGUGCCAGCAGCCGCGGUAAUACGGAGGGUGCAAGCGUUAAUCGGAAUUACUGGGCGUAAAGCGCACGCAGGCGGUCUGUCAAGUCGGAUGUGAAAUCCCCGGGCUCAACCUGGGAACUGCAUUCGAAACUGGCAGGCUAGAGUCUUGUAGAGGGGGGUAGAAUUCCAGGUGUAGCGGUGAAAUGCGUAGAGAUCUGGAGGAAUACCGGUGGCGAAGGCGGCCCCCUGGACAAAGACUGACGCUCAGGUGCGAAAGCGUGGGGAGCAAACAGGAUUAAAUACCCUGGUAGUCCACGCUGUAAACGAUGUCGA
rnacentral:rRNA from 1 species